UACGUAGGGUGCAAGCGUUGUCCGGAAUUAUUGGGCGUAAAGGGUAGGUAGGUGGUCUCAUUUGUCCGGGGUGAAAGCCUUGAGCUUAACUCAAGAAGUGCCCCGGAAACGGUGAGACUGGAGUCUUGGAGAGGGUCGUGGAAUUCCCGGUGUAGCGGUGAAAUGCGUAGAGAUCGGGAGGAACACCAGAGGCGAAAGCGGCGACCUGGACAAGUACUGACACUCAACUACGAAAGCGUGGGGAGCAAACAGG
rnacentral:rRNA from 1 species